rnacentral:rRNA from 1 species
AGUGAACGCGGCGGCGUGCCUAAUACAUGCAAGUCGAACGGACAAGUAAGAGCUUGCUCUUAUGAGUUAGUGGCGCACGGGUGAGUAAUAUAUAGCUAAUCUGCCCUACACUAGAGGACAACAGUUGGAAACGGCUGCUAAUACUCUAUACUCCUAUCUUACAUAAGUUAGAUAGGGAAAGUUUUUCGGUGUAGGAUGAGGCUAUAUUGUAUCAGCUAGUUGGUGAGGUAAUGGCUCACCAAGGCUAUGACGCAUAACUGGUCUGAGAGGAUGAUCAGUCACACUGGAACUGAGACACGGUCCAGACUCCUACGGGAGGCAGCAGUAGGGAAUAUUGCUCAAUGGGGGAAACCCUGAAGCAGCAACGCCGCGUGGAGGAUGACACUUUUCGGAGCGUAAACUCCUUUUGUUAGGGAAG